rnacentral:rRNA from 1 species
UAGGGAAUCUUCCACAAUGGCCGCAAGUCUGAUGGAGCAACGCCGCGUGAGUGAAGAAGGUUUUCGGAUCGUAAAGCUCUGUUGUUGGUGAAGAAGGAUAGCGGCAGUAACUGGUCUUUAUUUGACGGUAAUCAACCAGAAAGUCACGGCUAACUACGUGCCAGCAGCCGCGGUAAUACGUAGGUGGCAAGCGUUGUCCGGAUUUAUUGGGCGUAAAGCGAGCGCAGGCGGAAUGAUAAGUCUGAUGUGAAAGCCCACGGCUCAACCGUGGAACUGCAUCGGAAACUGUCAUUCUUGAGUGCAGAAGAGGAGAGUGGAAUUCCAUGUGUAGCGGUGGAAUGCGUAGAUAUAUGGAAGAACACCAGUGGCGAAGGCGGCUCUCUGGUCUGAAACUGACGCUGAGGCUCGAAAGCAUGGGUAGCGAACAGG